rnacentral:rRNA from 1 species
GACGAACGCUGGCGGCGUGCCUAAUACAUGCAAGUAGAACGCUGAAGGAGGAGCUUGCUUCUCUGGAUGAGUUGCGAACGGGUGAGUAACGCGUAGGUAACCUGCCUGGUAGCGGGGGAUAACUAUUGGAAACGAUAGCUAAUACCGCAUAAUAGUAGAUGUUGCAUGACAUUUGCUUAAAAGGUGCAAUUGCAUCACUACCAGAUGGACCUGCGUUGUAUUAGCUAGUUGGUGGGGUAACGGCUCACCAAGGCGACGAUACAUAGCCGACCUGGGAGGGGGAUCGGCCACCCUGGGACUUAGACACGGCCCAGACUCCUACGGGAGGCAGCCGUAGGGAAUCUUCGGCAAUGGACGGAAGUCUGACCGAGCCACGCCGCGUGAGUGGAGAAGGUUUUCGGAUCGUAAAGCUCUGUUGUUAGAGAAGAACGAGUGUGAGAGUGGAAAGUUCACACUGUGACGGUAUCUUACCAGAAAGGGACGGCUAACUACGUG